CAGAGGUUCGAAGGCGAUCAGAUACCGCCCUAGUUCUGACCGUAAACGAUGCCACCUGACGAACCGCCAGGGUUACUACCAUGACUCGGCGGGCAGUCCCCGGGAAACCCAAGCCUUCGGGUUCCGGGGGAAGUAUGGUUGCAAAGCUGAAACUUAAAGGAAUUGACGGAAGGGCACCACCAGGAGUGGAGCCUGCGGCUUAAUUUGACUCAACACGGGGAACCUCACCCGGCCCGGACACCGCGAGGAUUGACAGAUUGAGAGCUCUUUCUCGAUUCGGUGGGUGGUGGUGCAUGGCCGUUCUUAGUUGGUGGAGCGAUUUGUCUGGUUAAUUCCGAUAACGAACGAGACUCUAGCCGGUUAAGUAGCCCGAGCGGUUUUUGAUCUUUGCCGUUCAUCCCCGUUCGACCUUU
rnacentral:rRNA from 1 species